rnacentral:rRNA from 1 species
UACGAAGGGGGCUAGCGUUGCUCGGAUUGACUGGGCGUAAAGGGCGCGUAGGCGGAUAGUACAGUCAGGCGUGAAAUUCCUGGGCUCAACCUGGGGGCUGCGUUUGAUACGUAUUGUCUGGAGUUCGGAAGAGGGUCGUGGAAUUCCCAGUGUAGAGGUGAAAUUCGUAGAUAUUGGGAGGAACACCGGUGGCGAAGGCGGCCAGCUGGCGCUGACCUGACGCUGAGGCGCGAAGGCGUGGGGAGCGAACGGG